AAUAUGAUGUACCAGUAUGUACUAAAGUGGUGUGAAGUAACGUUUAAUUGCUAGGUCCCUAAAACAAUCAAAAAUUAGUUCACGAUUGUGCAAAAAUUGUAUCUUUGUGUUAAUAAGAAAUAUUAAUAAUAUAUUUAAAUUCACGUAAUUCAGAAACUCUAUCCAUGCUGUCCAUUUUAGAUUAAUAUUUGGCGAGUUAUUUAUAGGUAUAUUUGUCACAACAGAAUUUCCAAUUGCUCACCGUUGCCUUAUUUUAUCACCAAAUUCGAAAAAAAUACAGUACUCAAAAAGUAACCUUAUCACAUGAGUUACUAAGCUAAUUAAUUCCAAUUAGAUAUAUAUUGCGCCGUCAAACUCAAAACAUUUCAGUUGUGUCUGACGAUUUGAACCAAACAAUACUAGGAUCAUGAGGGCAAAUAUUUUGUUCACUGUAACCUUGUGCGUAGCAAGCUCGAUUGCGUUGCCCACUUCAAAUGUGAAGCCAAUUAGAAACUUUGGCAACUGCUUCGAAAUUUUGGCAAACUCUAUUGCUGAAGAGUUCGAGAUCAAUAAAAAAAUUGUUGAAGAAUGUGCAACAGAAAACUGCCUGGAACAGAUCAAAGUUAUCGAACGAGAAACGAGAGGCUUAAUAUCUACGUACUUAUAUGGUAUAUCAUUGCAUACUGAUUGCCUCCCAGGAUGCAACGGAAAUAAAGAAUGCGAAGAGAGCUGUGUUGCCACCUAUGACAAUCUACUGCAAGGAUGUGUGAUAAACCUCAACGUAAUGAUCAACACGAAUCUCGGUAAAAUGCUGGACACAUGCCCUAAAGUAAGCGAAUGCGCUCGUUCCGCUUACGAUAUAUUUGUCAAUAAGAAGAUAAUUGCUGCACGUAGAGAAUUUGUCAGUUGUUUAUCAGUUUAAUUUGUUUCUUUUUUUGAUUAAAAAAUCAAUAAAUAUAUGGAAAUAAAUAAAAUAA